GGCUCGGUAGCUUAGUUGGUAAAGCGCUCGUCUAGCAUACAAGAGUCUUGGAUUCGAAUCCCAGCCGAGCAC
rfam:Aedes aegypti strain Liverpool supercont1.695 genomic scaffold, whole genome shotgun sequence.